rnacentral:rRNA from 1 species
CAGUAGCCGCGGGAAUACAGAGGAUGCAAGCGUUAUCCGGAAUGAUUGGGCGUAAAGCGUCUGUAGGUGGCUUUUCAAGUCCGUCGUCAAAUCCCAGGGCUCAACCCUGGACAGGCGGUGGAAACUACCAAGCUGGAGUACGGUAGGGGCAGAGGGAAUUUCCAGUGGAGCGGUGAAAUGCGUUGAGAUCGGAAAGAACACCAACGGCGAAAGCACCCUGCUGGGCCGACACUGACACUGAGAGACGAAAGCUAGGGGAGCAAAUGGGAUUAGAUACCCCUGUAGUCCCUGUCUCUUAUAC